ACCAUGGCGACACCCUUCAUAGGUCCGCUGACAUUAUCAGCAUACAGGAGGCACUGAUCUGAAUCACGUAAACAGUCACUGACGGCUCCUGACACAAGGCCGAGGCCACCCCGCAGCAUUGUGGUGAUGUGUAGCAAGGAGAGAAAUGCCUGUACGCCUGUCUCAGCAAUUCUUAGCUACACCUGUGUGUGCAUUUGGCAGAUCUUCACAUUGGGACUUAAGUAUUCCAGAAGUUAGAAGCUUUAUUUUACUUACACUUGUUUCCAAAGAAACUGCUUUAACGGCCA